rnacentral:lncRNA from 1 species
AACUGCAAUUUAAAGAACAGACAUGUUUCGAAAUCUAAGGAGAGGGAAGGAGCUAAGAGAUAAAAAAACAUGAAUCCUAAUAUGUUCAACACGGAAACAAGACGAAUGGAAUAAUAAGAAAAGCACAUGUAUGAUUAGAGAUGAAACGAUGUCAUCACACUUCCAUAGAAUCGUGGUGGAAUAUCAUUUCAUCAUGAAAAAAGCAGUACAUCAAGUAAUUAUACUAUUAAUUUUCACAGUCCACCAUCUAGUAUGAACGUUGAAUAUUACCAAAGUUUGACAUUCAAACAUCAUUCAUAGACAAAGUAAAAAAUCUCUUUGGAUACUGAUAUGACCUCCUUGUAGACGAAAAAUACAUCGAAGAUAUAUGAGCCUUGAC